rnacentral:snRNA from 1 species
AUCACUUCUCGGCCUUUUGGCUAAGAUCAAGUGCAUUAUAUUCUCAGAGGUAAAAACAACUAUUUUACUAGAAUCUUAGCCUAAAACUCUGUUUUCUAUCUCUAUCAGAAGAGAGUUUUAACACCUAAUCUUUUACUCAAAGUAAAAGAACUGGGUAGUCUAG